UACGGAGGGUGCAAACGUUGCUCGGAAUCAUUGGGCGUAAAGCGUACGUAGGCGGUCCAGCAAGUCGGGUGUGAAAUCCCUGGGCUUAACCGAGGAAGUGCGAACGAAACUACUGGACUUGAGUACUGAAGAGGGUCGCGGAAUUCCCGGUGUAGAGGUGAAAUUCGUAGAUAUCGGGAGGAACACCAGUGGCGAAGGCGGCGACCUGGGCAGAUACUGACGCUGAGGUACGAAAGCGUGGGGAGCAAACAGG
rnacentral:rRNA from 1 species